GGGUUAAGUCCCGCAACGAGCGCAACCCUUGUCCUUAGUUGCCACCAUUCAGUUGGGCACUCUAAGGAGACUGCCGGUGUUAAACCGGAGGAAGGUGGGGAUGACGUCAAGUCCUCAUGGCCCUUAUAUCCAGGGCUACACACGUGCUACAAUGGCCGGUACAAAGGGUUGCAAUACCGCGAGGUGGAGCUAAUCCCAAAAAGCCGGUCUCAGUUCGGAUUGGAGUCUGCAACUCGACUCCAUGAAGUCGGAAUCGCUAGUAAUCGCGUAUCAGCGUGACGCGGUGAAUACGUUCCCGGGCCUU
rnacentral:rRNA from 1 species